rnacentral:rRNA from 1 species
CCUACGGGUGGCAGCAGUGGGGAAUAUUGCACAAUGGGGGAAACCCUGAUGCAGCGACGCCGCGUGAGUGAAGAAGUAUCUCGGUACGUAAAGCUCUAUCAGCAGGGGAGAAAAUGACGGUACCUGACUAAGAAGCCCCGGCUAACUACGUGCCAGCAGCGGCGGUAAUACGGAGGGGGCAGGCGUUAUCCGGAUUUACUGGGGAUAAAGGGGGCGUAGACGGCAGGAUAGGUCUGGAGUGAAAUCCCGGGGCUUAACGCCGGAACUGCCUUGGAAACUGUGCGGCUGGAGUGUAGGAGGGGUAAGCGGAAUGUCUGGUGUAGCGGUGAAAUGCGUAGAUAUCAGGAGGAACACCGGGUGCGAAGGCGGCUUACUGGACUGCAACUGACGUUGAGGCUCGAAAGCGUGGGGAGCAAACAGGAUUAGAUACCCGAGUAGUC